AUGUGUUAUUUCUUUUAUAAUUUAGUAUUCUUACAAUUGCUAUCUUUAAAGUCCCAGAAGCACCAAAGAAAAUUGCCAGACAAGAAAGAGUAUCCAUUGCUGUUCCAAAAAGAAAAGUGUCUCCACCACCAGAAGUACCAACAGAAGAAGAACACUGGGCUAUGUCAGAGGAAGUAUCCAUUUCUCUUCACACAGAAAAGGAGAUUUCAUACACAGUGCCUGAAAUGCGCAAGACAGUUGUCCGAAAAGAAAAAGUAUAUGUUGAAGUUCCUCAGUAUGAAGAGGAAGAAGAGAUUCCAACAUAUGAAGAAGAAGAAGCCACCAGAUAUGAGGAGGAAGUAAUCCAUUACAAGGAGGAAGUCCACCAUUAUGAAGAAGUUAGUCACUACGAGGAGGAAGUUCCUCAGUAUGAAGAAGUUCCUCAAUAUGAAGAGGAAGAAGUCACCCAUUAUGAAGAAGCAGCUGCUUAUUAUGAAGAAGUUCCUGAAUAUGAGGAGGAAGAGCCAGAAGUUCCCCAGUAUGAAGAGGAGGCUCCCCCACGAGUUAGAGGUAUACUUUAAUUUUAGGAUUUGUGUGAGAAAAAGUAGUACAUUUUAAUUCUGUUAAUAUACCAAAGUUUUGGUUUAGU
rnacentral:lncRNA from 1 species